rnacentral:rRNA from 1 species
UACGAAGGGGGCUAGCGUUGCUCGGAAUCACUGGGCGUAAAGCGCACGUAGGCGGAUCUUUAAGUCAGAGGUGAAAUCCCAAGGCUCAACCUUGGAACUGCCUUUGAUACUGGGGAUCUCGAGUCCGGAAGAGGUGAGUGGAACUGCGAGUGUAGAGGUGAAAUUCGUAGAUAUUCGCAAGAACACCAGUGGCGAAGGCGGCUCACUGGUCCGGUACUGACGCUGAGGCACGAAAGCGUGGGGAGCAAACAGG